UUCCUUCCAAGGUGGUUCUAGUCGGUGCCAACUCACAAUUAUACUCAUAUUGCCUUACGAAAGCCUUGGACAAGUCAAUCCAGGUUCUUACGUCUUCAGGUUUCAGAUUUGAAUACCAAUCAAGUGCGUCCCCUUCCAGACUUUCGGGGAACAACCUUAGAGGCAAGUUUUCAUCGUCCACAGGCUUUCCCAAUUUGUUUGCAAAUAGUCGGAGGUGCGUCUUGGGAUUACCCGUCCCAUCGUACUUGUUAAACUUAGGAGUUUUGAACCCCUCAGGCAGUUGCACAUUCGGAAAGAGACACAGCUCAUCGUAAUCCAAAACUCC
rnacentral:lncRNA from 1 species